UGCAAACCUCUGUAGACCCUCUGCUACAUGAAGGCUGUUGUAGGCUCUGCCAGUUAACAAGAUGUGAACAUGGUGGGCCCGGGAGAGAAUGAGACAGACUUUCUCAGGAGGAAGCAAAGCAAACCGGAAGACAGGACAUCCCAGCCUUCAUAUUGAGUACAUCUGUAGAGGUUGUGUUGUGUACACCUGUCCUCUACCCACUGCUACAGUGUGAAGCCAAGCUCAAAGAGGAUGCAUAGUAUGGUCAUGGGUCACACGUGUCCCCUAACCUGGACAAGGAGUGGCUUUAUCCCCAGCCCUGCUUCCUGCCCAGGCUUGGAGGGAGGCCUAUGGAUUUUUCUGAAUCUUCCCUUGAAAAGGUACCUUAGGAUUCAUGCUCAGGUUGCUGUGGAGGGCAUGGGACGAGGAUAUUGGAAGAGCUUAGUCCCUACCUACUGGCUCGGAUUCAUACCUUUAGAUCAAUUCCAGGUGUGCCUGGUUCCAUGGCUCAGAGUUUAACUGUUCGGCUGAAAAAAAAAAAUCCUUUUCUCUUGCAAUGUUAAACUUGGUCCUAUCGGCCAACCACACCAUCUGUAGCAUAUUAUGAACUAAUUAAAAAUAAACCUGUAAUUACCUUGUUAAUAGAGCAA